rnacentral:tRNA from 1 species
GGCUCGUUGUUGGUCUAGGGGUAUGAUUCUCGCUUAGGGUGCGAGAGGUCCCGGGUUCAAAUACCGGACGAGCCC